rnacentral:rRNA from 1 species
UGGAGAGUUUGAUCCUGGCUCAGGAUGAACGCUGGCGGCGUGCUUAACACAUGCAAGUCGAGCGAAGCRAUUUUAAGGAAGCCUUCGGGUGGAAUUAAAAYUGACUUAGCGGCGGACGGGUGAGUAACGCGUGGGUAACCUGCCUCAUACAGGGGGAUAACAGUUAGAAAUGACUGCUAAUACCGCAUAAGCGCACAGUGCUGCAUAGCACAGUGUGAAAAACUCCGGUGGUAUGAGAUGGACCCGCGUCUGAUUAGGUAGUUGGUGAGGUAACGGCCCACCAAGCCGACGAUCAGUAGCCGACCUGAGAGGGUGACCGGCCACAUUGGGACUGAGACACGGCCCAAACUCCUACGGGAGGCAGCAGUGGGGAAUAUUGGACAAUGGGGGAAACCCUGAUCCAGCGACGCCGCGUGACUGAAGAAGUAUUUCGGUAUGUAAAGGUCUAUCAGCAGGGAAGAAAAUGACGGUACCUGACUAAGAAGCCCCGGCUAACUACGUGCCAGCAGCCGCGGUA